rnacentral:tRNA from 1 species
AGCCUUGAGGUGUUUUACACGGGGGAUUGCAAAUCCCAAGUAGUAGGUUUACCGCCUACCGGGGCUU